GUGCUAUCAUCACUCCUGCAACAUAACAACAAUAAAUCAAGCGAUAGCAAAGUCUAGUAGGAAGAAAGACGCUGAAAAGCCUGAAGCAGGUGAAUCACCUCAAGAGGCAGUUCCUGAUGGUGAAGCAGAUGAGCCGGCCACAAAGAGACUGCUUCGAUCCAUGACAAGUCAUAGUCAACAAACAGCAACUGUCGAGCACACUGACCGCAGGCAUGUCCUACCAGCGCAUUGCAUCAUUUGUAAAGGUUCAAAGUACACAAAAUAAAUAAAUUGUGGAAAAAAAUGAUUAUAUAAAGUUUUAUUUUAAUGUG